UACGUAGGGGGCAAGCGUUGUCCGGAUUUAUUGGGCGUAAAGAGCGUGUAGGCGGCUUUACAGGUCCGUUGUGAAAACUCGAGGCUCAACCUCGAGACGCCGGUGGAAACCGUAAAGCUAGAGUCCGGAAGAGGAGAGUGGAAUUCCUGGUGUAGCGGUGAAAUGCGCAGAUAUCAGGAAGAACACCCGUGGCGAAGGCGGCUCUCUGGGACGGUACUGACGCUGAGACGCGAAAGCGUGGGGGGCGAACAGG
rnacentral:rRNA from 1 species